rnacentral:lncRNA from 1 species
GGACUUGCUCCAGAGGGCCGAGGACUACAUCCGGGACAAAGUCGACUUGACCUUCUUCACCCAGACUCUGCCUCAGCUGGUGGAGCACAUCUACAGCACAGCUUUCACUCACACCAGAGAGAGGAGGGACCUGAGCCUGAGACACGGUCUCACACAGAUUAAAGAACAGCUAGGUGGAGCUGUGGUGCCAACAAACCAGGGUCCUUCUCCAGUUCCUCCAUCCUUAUUCAGAGAGGUGGGACCAUCAGUGGAUGACUGGGAGAGAUACCUGAGAAACAUGGCUGAGGAUCUGGACAAACAACACACAGACACCUCCACGCCAACAAGACAGGAGGACAACCUCUUUUUACAGACAGAGGACUCCUCAGUACAUCAGCUGGAGGGAGAAUUUCAAUCUGUUAUCUCAGAUCUGCGCUCCAAAUUGGAAUCCAGAGCUGCUCCUCCCAUCCUGCACAUGGACACAGUCUACCUCCAGGAGGAGUCUCCCAACAGUCCCCCUUUAACUGCUUCUUCCACUGGAGCACCCUCCUCCUCCUCAUCCCAGGAGCCUUGGUCCCUUCUAACAGCCCUGAUGAAUGAAAUUCAGAAAAUAAAGACACAAGAUGAAAUUGUGACAGAAGAUGCGUCACAAAGUGAAACCUCGUCAGAUAGAGACACUUCUCCUGACACGAAAUGGAGCGCCGCGUCCGAGGAUUUUACUUUUGUUGAGAAUGGAGAUAUAACAGAAUUAAAAUCUUCAGCGUUACCGCUUCCAGUGCAGUCAACAUCUGUGUUUCAGCUGGUCACUGAAGGUGCUGCUCGCACAGAUACGACCGCUGACCCCAGACAAGCUGUGCAUGCUGUAAAGACUUUAAGUCUUCACAGAAAAUACAGGAGUCUUCUUCGCAAGAGGCAGAUACCUGGAGCGAGUGGGAAAGUUUGUCCUGGAGUUAAAGAGUCCUCACAGCAAGUCAGCCAGGUCAGAGACUCUUACAGCUGGGUCUUAAGCAUCCCAAGCAAGAACCUACGCAUGAACUUCCAA